UACGUAGGGUGCGAGCGUUGUCCGGAAUUUAUUGGGCGUAAAGAGCUUGUAGGCGGUUUGUCGCGUCUGCUGUGAAAAUCCGAGGCUCAACCUCGGACUUGCAGUGGGUACGGGCAGACUAGAGUGUGGUAGGGGAGACUGGAAUUCCUGGUGUAGCGGUGGAAUGCGCAGAUAUCAGGAGGAACACCGAUGGCGAAGGCAGGU
rnacentral:rRNA from 1 species